rnacentral:rRNA from 1 species
GACGAACGCUGGCGGCGUGCUUAACACAUGCAAGUCGAACGGAAAGACCCUGCUUUUGUGGGGUGCUCGAGUGGCGAACGGGUGAGUAACACGUGAGUAACCUGCCCUUGACUUUGGGAUAACUUCAGGAAACUGGGGCUAAUACCGGAUAGGAGCUCCUGCUGCAUGGUGGGGGUUGGAAAGUUUCGGCGGUUGGGAUGGACUCGCGGCUUAUCAGCUUGUUGGUGGGGUAGUGGCUUACCAAGGCUUUGACGGGUAGCCGGCCUGAGAGGGUGACCGGCCACAUUGGGACUGAGAUACGGCCCAGACUCCUACGGGAGGCAGCAGUGGGGAAUAUUGCACAAUGGGCGGAAGCCUGAUGCAGCAACGCCGCGUGCGGGAUGACGGCCUUCGGGUUGUAAACCGCUUUCGCCUGUGACGAAGCGUGAGUGACGGUAAUGGGUAAAGAAGCACCGGCUAACUACGUG